rnacentral:rRNA from 1 species
CAGCAGCCGCGGUAAUUCCAGCUCCAAUAGCGUAUAUUAAAGUUGUUGCAGUUAAAAAGCUCGUAGUUGAAUUUCGGGGUCAGUAGAUUGGUCAUGCCACUGGUAUGUACUGGUCUCACUGAUUCCUCCUUCCUGAUGAGCCGUAAUGCCAUUAAUUUGGUGUUGCGAGGAAUCUGGACUGUUACUUUGAAAAAAUUAGAGUGUUUAAAGCAGGCUAACGCUUGAAUACAUUAGCAUGGAAUAAUGAAAUAGGACGUUCGAUCUUAUUUUGUUGGUUUCUAAGAUUGACGUAAUGAUUAAUAGGGAUAGUUGGGGGCAUUAGUAUUCAAUUGUCAGAGGUGAAAUUCUUGGAUUUAUUGAAGACUAACUACUGCGAAAGCAUUUGCCAAGGAUGUUUUCAUUAAUCAAGAACGAAAGUUAGGGGAUCGAAGACGAUCAGAUACCGUCGUAGUCUUAACCAUAAACUAUGCCGACUAGGGAUCGGAUGAUGUUAAUUUUUUAAUGACUCAUUCGGCGCCUUACG